UGUGCAAGUGAUGAUAAACAGACAGGGACAUCAGCACUGUUUAAUGGGAUGAUGAUUUGUCAAUGGGAAUCUCUCUGAUGCACU
rfam:Ipomoea nil DNA, scaffold: scaffold2957, cultivar: Tokyo-kokei standard.